rnacentral:rRNA from 1 species
UACGUAGGGGGCAAGCGUUGUCCGGAUUUAUUGGGCGUAAAGAGCGUGUAGGCGGCCAAGCAGGUCCGCUGUGAAAACUCGAGGCUCAACCUCGAGACGUCGGUGGAAACCGUUUGGCUAGAGUCCGGAAGAGGAGAGUGGAAUUCCCGGUGUAGCGGUGAAAUGCGCAGAUAUCGGGAAGAACACCCGUGGCGAAGGCGGCAUCCUGGACCAAUUCUGACGCUGAGUGAGCGAAAGCCAGGGGAGCAAACGGG